rnacentral:lncRNA from 1 species
UCACACAGUUCCGAGGCAUAACGACAUUGCCUAGAUAGGGUCCUUUGCUUGACAAGUUACAUCAUAAACAAACAAGUAAAACAUCUAAAUUGAAAUACAAAGACCAAGCGGACAAUAUACCACAACAAUUGCACAAUGAUCCAUGAACACCUUGGUAUUCGAGACAAGAACGCAUAAAUAAAUGCUUAAUACUUAAAUGUAACGAGAUCGAAAGCGGUACUCUAAACCGGGUGGAGACAACACUGGGUAAACCAGGAUUAUUAUGGAUAUUGACUAAACAGUCUUGGUGAUAGAUCAAUAAUCACUAACUGAUAGAUGCGGAAUUAUUUUCAAUUGCAUAAGUCGUUCGAACGCUAACUCGAAGUAAAUCAUACCUUGCAACUGGCAGAGAGGAUGGCUUUGGGGUGACCACAUCGUGUAAGAAAAUAGUACCUUAGUAUGAUGCAGACGAUUCCCGUAGAUGUGUGCCUCAGUAUGUUCACUAUGCUUCCGAAUUGCCACGAAUAUUGGUGGAUCAUGAUUGUAGAAGGUACUGAUCAGGAAGUUCAUGGAAUCGUCCCGAAAACCGUGCAAGAAAUCUGGAGGGCGGAGUAGAUGGAGGGGAACAAAAUACACACCGUGGGGAGAACCCGGGGUUCUAAAAUCACCCCAUGCGAUCUCCCCAAGAACACAAAAAAACUUCUUUUUUUAUUAUGUUUCUUUGACCUGCCAUGCGAGCGCACCCAACAUGGCAAAGGUCGGUGUGACAAAAGAAUAGAUGGACUGAACAUGUCCCUAAUUUACCUUACCCUCGAUGGAGAUUUCCGGCUUUGCAGAUGCUCUACAUCAGAAAGAACCCCAUAUUAACAUCUCUAGUUCUAUGUACUUAAAACGAGAGACAUGAUGAGGAUCCGUCCACCAACAACCUCGUCUGAAACAUAUAUCUUCGUCUCCCGAUGCGCCGCGUAAAAAACAAGGUCCAAUUAGGGUAUGAAUGAACACCAGCUGGAACGAGAUACACGAUCAUAGGCUGUUGCAGCUCCAUUCACGAACCCCGAAGCUCUGCACGAACCCCAGCAUCCUGCAAUCGGCUGCAAAAAUUUUAUACCUGUAGAGACGUAAAAUUGAAAGUUGAAGUAGGAAAGAACAGGGAUUAAAGAAACACAAAAUCAGCAGUUCGAUGUAGGCUCUACCAGAUCGUCAAGAAUACAACCAACCAAAAUAACAACAGAAUCGGAAAAUAUAUGUUACUAGAACCAUAAAUUUAUUCUCCAACACAGUUAGAAUAGAGGGAAGAAAACUCCGAUAGAUCGAGGAACAGAACAAGAAGAAAAAAAGAUAUAAGGCAAACUAACCAGUUACCGCUUCAAAAUCAUAGAUCGGCUACCAAAGCCGCCGAAACAUCAUAUGGCCAUGUAUCGAAGACGGAAACCUCCAAAUAAUCAAAUCGGGCAUGAUCGAUGAUCGGUGUCGCCGAAACAUCAGAUCGGCCGUGUAUCGGCGAACAGAGUGGCUCAACCAUCAGAUCGGACACAAAAGAUUGGGACGGAAACCCAAGGGGGGAACGAGAACCAAUAGUAGG